rnacentral:rRNA from 1 species
UGGGGAAUAUUGCACAAUGGGGGAAACCCUGAUGCAGCGACGCCGCGUGAGCGAAGAAGUAUCUCGGUAUGUAAAGCUCUAUCAGCAGGGAAGAAAAUGACGGUACCUGACUAAGAAGCCCCGGCUAACUACGUGCC